rnacentral:rRNA from 1 species
GAUGAACGCUGGCGGCGUGCCUAAUACAUGCAAGUAGAACGCUGAAGCUUGGUGCCUGCACCGAGCGGAUGAGUUGCGAACGGGUGAGUAACGCGUAGGUAACCUGCCUCUUAGCGGGGGAUAACUAUUGGAAACGAUAGCUAAUACCGCAUAAAAGUCGAUAUCGCAUGAUAUUGAUUUGAAAGGUGCAAAUGCAUCACUAAGAGAUGGACCUGCGUUGUAUUAGCUAGUUGGUGAGGUAACGGCUCACCAAGGCGACGAUACAUAGCCGACCUGAGAGGGUGAUCGGCCACACUGGGACUGAGACACGGCCCAGACUCCUACGGGAGGCAGCAGUAGGGAAUCUUCGGCAAUGGGGGCAACCCUGACCGAGCAACGCCGCGUGAGUGAAGAAGGUUUUCGGAUCGUAAAGCUCUGUUGUAAGAGAAGAACGAGUGUGAGAGUGGAAAGUUCACACUGUGACGGUAACUUACCAGAAAGGGACGGCUAACUACGUG